AUAUAUAUAUAUAUAUAUAUAUACAUAUGCAAGAGUUACAUUAACAAUGUCUAGUUCAUUAGCAUUUGACAAAUUCAGAGAAAAUACUCCAUUAUCCACCCUAUCAUGAUGAGCCCAAAGUGUUGUUCCUAACUCACUUUCUAUCCUAACCUGCAUUU